UGGUGUUAUGAUGUUCUAAUAUCAUCUUUCGGGUCUGAAGACCUUGAUGACAACAUAACCAUUGCUGAACACCA